rnacentral:tRNA from 1 species
UCGUAGCUCAAUUGGUAGAGCAAUUUCUUUGUAAGAAAUGUGUAAUUGGUUCAAUUCCAAUCGACAGUUUGCCA